rfam:Beauveria bassiana ARSEF 2860 unplaced genomic scaffold BBA_S00001, whole genome shotgun sequence.
GGCCGCGUGGCCUAAUGGUUAAGGCGCUAGAUUUCGGCCCACCGUAUCGUAACCUCUAGAGAUUCCAGGUUCGACUCCUGGCGUGGUCG